UGUAACUAUAUUUGUUUUAAACCAUCACAUUAAAACAAUACCCUGGCCCUUUAGGUAAACAGGAUUGUUUUAUGAUUAUGUGUAAUAUUUUCCCUUUUUCCUAACAGUGCCUUCUAUAUAAUAUAUGCUGAGUCCCCUGUCUCCUCAAGCAGAGUAAAUGCUCUUGUGUGUCUGCCUUACCCGAUGGGUUUGGAUUGUUUAUACAAAUAACAUUGCUGGGAUGGUGAAAAUGGCUGAACUGUAAAGGGAUAAGGAUCAGCCUGCAGAAGUCCUCUUCCAAGAAGCACAUUGACGGGCUGAUGCAGAACAGGAACUUGUUGUUUACACAGUUCACUGUCUGUAUCACAAUGGCUGAAUCCCACUCUCUCUGCAAGGCAAAGAUAUCCUUAACACUGCUACUCACAAGCUGUCUGCAGCACUGGCUGGACAAAUAGAGGUGAUUAGCAUGCAUCUACAAGAUGGGGCAAAUAAUCCUGCUCUUCUGGGUCAUGAUUAUGGCAUGUUAAUGUGAUGAGGCAAAUUCUGCUCCUCCCCCAUGUGGGGAACUGUACCUUUAAGAGACUCUGACAUGAGCCAGACAUGGAGGAUCCUGUGAACAGUGGAACCGGUCUUCACUAGAAACUUAUGCUAUAGAAUCAUAGAAAUGUAAGACUGGAAGGGACCCCUGAGAUGUCAUCUUGUCCAGCCCCCCGUGCUGAGCAUUCUCUGAUAUUUACUGUGAAGGUUCCCGAAACUGACGGAGGGAAGCGAACACAAAUUUAUCCUCCUCAAGAGCCACUCAAUCCAAGUCCAUAAGACAAUCACCUGCAAACUCAAUCAUGUGAAGCAUGGAUAAUGCAUGAAGCAGAAAGCGGCGUGCACACUAAAAUACAAAAUUGUAUGUAUGUACAGAUCAAAAGAAGAAAGAACAUACUAACACUUAAGAAAACAAAGAAAAGCAGGAGUGAAGGCACUAUACCACUGAGCAUGCUAGACUGUAAACAAAAGAUGGCGGUCUUCUGGCUAUUACUGGCUAAGGGGGACACUAUACAUGACGUCAGUCCUAGGAUGAG